CCUACGGGAGGCAGCAGUGAGGAAUAUUGGUCAAUGGGCGGAAGCCUGAACCAGCCAAGUAGCGUGCAGGAUGACGGCCCUACGGGUUGUAAACUGCUUUUAUACGGGAAUAACGCGCCUUACGUGUAGGGCUUUGCAUGUACCGUAUGAAUAAGGACCGGCUAAUUCCGUGCCAGCAGCCGCGGUAAUACGGAAGGUCCGGGUGUUAUCCGGAUUUAUUGGGUUUAAAGGGAGCGUAGGCCGCAUGUCAAGCGUGCUGUGAAAUGUCCGGGCUCAACCCUGGCCUUCCAGCGCGAACUGGGGUGCUUGAGUCCGCGGAAAGCAGGCGGAAUUCGGGGUGUAGCGGUGAAAUGCUUAGAUAUGACGAAGAACCCCGAUUGCGAAGGCAGCUUGCUGCAGCGGAACUGACGCUGAUGCUCGAAAGCGCGGGUAUCGAACAGGAUUAGAGACCCUUGUAGUC
rnacentral:rRNA from 1 species